GGCCUCGUAGUUCAGCUGGUAGAGCAUGCGCGUACAAAGCGUAGGCGGUGUCCAUGCGUGGGUUCGAAUCCCACCGAGACUA
rnacentral:tRNA from 1 species